UACGGAGGGUGCGAGCGUUGUCCGGAUUUAUUGGGUUUAAAGGGUGCGUAGGUGGCCUGGUAAGUCAGUGGUGAAAUGCGGCCGCUCAACGGUCGAACUGCCAUUGAUACUGCCGGGCUUGAGACAGAUGGAGGCCGCCGGAACGGAUGGUGUAGCGGUGAAAUGCAUAGAUAUCAUCCAGAACACCGAUUGCGAAGGCAGGUGGCUACGCCUGGUCUGACACUGAGGCACGAAAGCAUGGGGAGCAAAC
rnacentral:rRNA from 1 species